rnacentral:rRNA from 1 species
CGGCGGACGGGUGAGUAACGCGUGGGUAACCUGCCUCAUACAGGGGGAUAACAGUUGGAAACGGCUGCUAAUACCGCAUAAGACCACAGCACCGCAUGGUGCAGGGGUAAAAACUCCGGUGGUACAGGAUGGACCCGCGUCUGAUUAGCUGGUUGGUGAGGUAACGGCUCACCAAGGCGACGAUCAGUAGCCGGCUUGAGAGAGUGAACGGCCACAUUGGGACUGAGACACGGCCCAA